GGUGGGCAUGGUAGUGCACGCCUGUAAUCCCAGUGGCUUGGGAGGCUGAGACAGGAGGAUCGUGGAUUCAAAGCCAGCCUCAGUAAAAGCAAGGUAUUAAGAAACUCAGUGAGACCUUGUCUCUA
rnacentral:sRNA from 1 species